UUCUCGUGUCAGAAUGUUAGUUUCAAUACUCCUCCGAAACGGCUGGACCGAUUUUUAUCAAAUUUUGUGUGUAUAUCAGGUAGGUCUGAGAAUCGGCCAACAUCUAUUUUUCACACCUCUAAGUGAUAGAGGGGGAUAAAAA